AUCUUCACCCCCACCGGCAGUUGAGAAGGGAGGGAGCCAGUGAGAAAAUGAAGAUGUCUACAAGCUUGGUUCCUGGCUGAGACAAGGUGAUCAAUUAACUAAGACAUGCUCUGUGUUUGGUUGGAGUUAUGCCCCCCUCUCUUAUUUUGUGCAGCUUACAGGAAAAACUCUGCUCGAUUAGGUCAUCAGCUUGUAUCGAUGAAGCUCGCCACUCUCAACCCAAUGAUGGUGUACGAGCUUGGGCUAGACACUGGAAGCAUGUACGGACAGAUGUUUGACUGGUAACUAAUCAGGACUUGAUGGCAAUGAAGCAACAUAGUCAGUACAUCUCUCUCUCUCUCUCUCUCUCUCUCUCUGAUAGGAUCAUCUUGAAACCAACUAAGCAAUCAUCUAUGCCUGAAG